CCCUUCAGCUUGACGUCUUCUCAAAACGCUACCUGACAGACUGCCGCCAUCACCCCGUGAAUGAGGUGAAGAGUCAAAAAUAACCUUGAUGAGCUGUGGUGGAGUUUGCUGUUAUUUAUUCCUGGGAGUCAGCUGACUGCUCCUGAGCAUGUAUAGCACACCUGCUGCGCUAUACAAGUGCCUUCCAUCAUGGAGCAUCUCUCAAGAGAGGAAAUGGUCAGCAGAGACUAAAAGAGGAAACAAACAACUGGGACCAUAGCAACAAGGAGAGCAGAUAGUGCUGAGCUGGGAAUCCUAACUGGAUCUUAACAACAACGACAAUGUUCAACGCUUCUUGCUAGGGUUUGCUCCCUUUGAAGCUUAUGUUGAAAUUUGAUUGGCAGUUUGGGGGGUGGGGACGUUAAGCGGUGAUUAGGAUUCCAAGAGGAAUGAAAACCUAUCUCAGAGUCGGGCAAGGUUAUACCUUAUGUUCUGACAGCCCCACCCCCAUCCAUCCAAUUGCCCUUCUGCUUCCUGCCCUGAGGUGAGGCCACAGAAGGCCUUUGCUAGGAGCCCACUCUCAGGGGCCACCUUGGCACUAAUGGAAUCAUGGGAGUCCCUCCCCUUGUGACCUCACGUAAUGUUAACUACCUUUCAUGAACUCACUUUCCAAUACCUUUAACAUGGUAAGCCAGCAUUUGCCCAGAUUCUUGCCUGCUCUCAUAUGAAGCUUCAUCAUAUCAAUAGGCCUCAUGACAGCACUCACUGAAUGCCACAACAUAACCUUAAGUGUCCCAACCCCCAGAACUGUGAACUAAAUAAGCUUCUUUAUCAUAACAUACCCACACCCAGAGGUCAUCUUCUUGCUGUGAAAUGGACGAGGGCACUGCUCUAUUUUGUCUCUGGUAUACCAGGCUUAGGUUUUGUUUGGAAAGUGUUAGAAAUUAAACUCAAGAGGCUACCGCAGUUAGCCUUCUAAAGUUAAAUAAGACAGAAAAAGAACCUGUGUUUUUAAAAGAUCUGAUUUUUUUAAACAAUAGAAACCUUAUCUUAAAACUCUUGCUA